UACAUUCAAGUAGAACACUCUCCUAUAAGCUUGCCCUUUUGCAUCAAUGUCUGUCUCUGUCUCUCUGUCCCCAACUCUGGCCCUUCUUACUCUCAUUGUGUGUUCAAGUUCUUUCACGAUUGACACCCUCACUUGUGAGCAUCUGAUCAAUUUGGUAUUUUGCUCAUGUUUGUUUUCAGCCUCACACACUCCAUAAAUCACCCAAUACUUUCUAUUCCAUGACUACAGAGCUGACACUUGAGAAACAUAGUUUGCUAUUUUAUUUUCCGCUCCCAUUAUUCAUCCAGCCCCUCAAUACGUAUUUUUCUUACACAUGAACCCAGUACUAAAAAUACACAUCAGUUGAAGGUUCUGCCAAAAUACUUAGUGAAUGAGUAAUCCAACUUGCCUGAGACCAAAAGAAAUGUGGAGGUCCUGAAAUAAAUCCCUUUGAAAUGAAUGAACCAAUUUGUCUGGAACCUGACUUCAUGAAGACAUGGCAAGCGUGUGACUAUGUGGGAUAUAAAGUCACUGGGUCAGUCCAACACUGUGUGUACCUCAUGUCAGCCUUUAGGAUUUGACAUCUUUCCCCAAAUGCUACAAGUUCAGCCAGUGUUCUUAUGCACAGCACAAGCAUACUGUAACCCUGUUUUCUUUUUUAAAUUUCUUCAUAGCUCUAAUCUUUAUCUAGAAGAUUGUGUUUAUUUGUUUACUUCCUUAUGGUCUAUAUCCUCCCUCUGGCCUGUAACUCCAUAGAGGAAGAGUGGACUAUUGUGUGCUGUUUCCCACUGUGUCCCCAGCAAUAAAUCAGUGCCUCGCACAGGAGCCAUAGGUCACCAGGUUUUGCCAUGAGGACUGCGGAGCAGCAAAAGCAGGUCUACAGAGAGUAAGAAUGAGAUAGAACCAUGGAGAGAAGCAAAGGCAAGAAAUGGAGAGAGGAAGUCCUAAUAUUUCCUUACCACCCUGCAAUGAAUUGUCUUGUGCACUUUCUGGAGCAUGUCACCCCAGGGUGGAGACCACUGGAUUAAGUCGCCAGUUCCUAAAAUUGUUGUGGGGCCGCGUGGUGAGAGUACCAGAUGUUCACAUCCACAGGAAUUUGGAUGGUCCUCGCUGAUCCAAUCCAGCGGGUGACGGAUUGCCGCCCGGUUUGAGCCACUGCUAGCACCUGAGGAUUCAACAGUGAUCCCCAUAAGCAUAGUCCCUGCCUUCAAGAAGCUUGUGAUUGGAUGGAGGAGAGAGACAAUAAACAGAUGAAGAAACUUGAGAUGUGGCUUUUCCAACAUCCAGAAGUGGUCCAUUUUGACUCCAAGUUCAAGUUCUUAGCUGCUACUGUGCUGUCCCCUUAGAAGAUAAAUCGUCUAGCUGCAUCUGAUUGCAUUAUCAUAUCAAAUCCUUUCUAUUGUGCAAAGAACCAAUUCUCCAAAUUGAGUGUCUUAAUACCACUCUCAGUCCACAAUCUAUAAAGCACACCUUUGAACUGUUGUAUACAUUUUCUUUACAAUGAACAAACAGAAAAAACAUUGAACUUUUCAUUCAACUGAUUGAAACAUUGACCUUCACAUGUUGCCUAACAUAACAAAUGAAGUUACACAAUCAUUUUAUAGCUCCAGUCCUAUCUCUGCUAUUAUAACCUCCAGCCUUUACAGGACUGUCCUGAUGUAAAACCCACAGGUCCUCUGGACCUCACACAGUUCUACAUUCACACAGCGCUCACCAUGUUUAUUAGGUACAUUCUCACCUGUCUCAGGGGUCCCAGGUGUCUUAGCUUCCCUGAAUGGAAAAAGACAUUCCUGCUUCAUUCUCUUUCUCUUUUUACAAAAACCACUACCCCCUCUGCCUACCUGCUCCUACGACCUCAUUCUUCUCAGGUUUGUGUGCUUCAAGAAGUGCAAAACUGGUGAACUGUGGUGAAAAUUCCACUGUUUUCCCAGAUCAGGUAGUGCCUACGACUUCACCGAGGGCUGAAGAAAAGGAUCAGCUUUAAAAGUCAGACCGUGUUCUCUUCUCUUCUCUGUUGUCUGCUUGGGCAUCCCCUGUUUUCUCACUAUCUGUAGACAGUGACUAGUCCUGAAAGUAAGGUUGUAGAAUGACCCACGCAAAGCUCUGCUUAGAAUAUCUGGAAUGGAAUCAGUUAUGUGUGAACUUCUGGUUUGCAAUCCAAUAACCCACUCUUCUUAAAUGUAUAUUUAUCCAAAACCACCCCUCCUCAGCACAGCAUUUACUGUAUCACUCAUGGGAUCACUCUCUCCCACUCACUGGGACUCAUUUGCCCAUCUGUAAAGUUAAAGGAGUAGAUUAAACCGUUUGUGACGUCACUUCCAGCUCUAAAGGUCUUUGAUUCUAAUCUAGGUUUCCAUUUUCCUACACUAGAGUUUCCUUCCUUCCAUCCAUUCAUCCACCCAUCCAUCCGCUUAUUCAUUCAUUCACAGAAAAAAAUGUAUAUAUGGAGUGCCUACUGUGUGCUAGAUAUUGUUCUAGGCAGAUUGAUUAAGUAAUAACUAGGACAGAUAACAUCUAUCCCCCAUGGGGGCAUAACCUUCUCUCUUACCUCUCCCCGCAAAUAAUUUGAAAGUGUAAAGAAAACCAGUGGUAGAGUUGUUCUAAC
ensembl:lncRNA